ACCCCACACGACGCGCGCCUCCGAGUGGCGUGGGGUGGGCAACUGCCUCGAAAGAGGCAGGCUAAGCGCGUCC
rnacentral:ribozyme from 1 species